CAAGAGCGUAUGUAAAAGUUGUUGCAGUUAAAAAGCUCGUAGUUGAACCUUGGGUUUGGUUGGCCGGUCCGCUUUUUUGCGAGUACUGGACUCAACCGAGCCUUUCCUUCUGGCUAACCAGUCGUUUCGGCGGCUGGCGAACCAGGAUUUUUACUUUGAGAAAAUUAGAGUGUUCAAAGCAGGCAUUAGCUUGAAUAUAUUAGCAUGGAAUAAUAGAAUAGGACGUUAUGGUUCUAUUUUGUUGGUUUCUAGGACCAUCGUAAUGAUUAAUAGGGACGGUCGGGGGCAUCAGUAUUCAGUUGUCAGAGGUGAAAUUCUUGGAUUUACUGAAGACUAACUACUGCGAAAGCAUUUGCCAAGGACGUUUUCAUUAA
rnacentral:rRNA from 1 species